AACUGUAAGACAGUGGUGCAUGGUUGUCGUCAGCUCGUGUCGUGAGAUGUUGGGUUAAGUCCCGCAACGAGCGCAACCCCUAUGUUUAGUUGCUAGCGAGUAAAGUCGAGCACUCUAGACAGACUGCCGGUGAUAAACCGGAGGAAGGUGGGGAUGACGUCAAAUCAUCAUGCCCCUUAUGUUCUGGGCUACACACGUGCUACAAUGGCCGGUACAAACGGAAGCGAAGCCGCGAGGUGAAGCAAAUCUGAUAAAACCGGUCUCAGUUCGGAUUGCAGGCUGCAACUCGCCUGCAUAAAGUCGGAAUCGCUAGUAAUCGCAGGUCAGCAUACUGCGGUGAAUACGUUCCCGGGCCUU
rnacentral:rRNA from 1 species